rnacentral:rRNA from 1 species
UACCAGCACCCCGAGUGGUCGGGACGUUUUAUUGGGCCUAAAGCAUCCGUAGCCGGUUCUACAAGUCUUCCGUUAAAUCCAGCUGCUUAACAGAUGGGCUGCGGAAGAUACUAUGGAGCUAGGAGGCGGGAGAGGCAAGCGGUACUCGAUGGGUAGGGGUAAAAUCCGUUGAUCCAUUGAAGACCACCAGUGGCGAAGGCGGUCGUGCCAGAACGCGCUCGACGGUGAGGGAUGAAAGCUGGGGGAGCAAACCGGG